ACUGCCAGGGCUUCUUUAAAGUAAAAUUUUACUUUUAUUUGCUUACAAAAUAAAAAAAGCGACGUUUCAGUCUGACACAGGAGACUUUCAUCAGGAAAUAAAAGUAAAGUUUUACUUUAAAGAAGCCCUGGGAGUUCUACCUUA